rnacentral:rRNA from 1 species
AGCGUAGAUGGCACUGCAAGUCUGAAGUGAAAGCCCGGGGCUUAACCCCGGGACUGCUUUGGAAACUGUGGAGCUAGAGUGCAGGAGAGGUAAGCGGAAUUCCUAGUGUAGCGGUGAAAUGCGUAGAUAUUAGGAGGAACACCGGUGGCGAAGGCGGCUUACUGGACUGUAACUGACGCUGAGGCGCGAAAGUGUGGGGAGCAAACA